GCACAAUGGGGGGAACCCUGAUGCAGCAACGCCGCGUGGAGGAUGAAGGCUUUUUGUCGUAAACUCCUUUUCCGAGGGAAGAGUAAGGACGGUACCUCGGGAAUAAGUCACGGCUAACUACGUGCCAGCAGCCGCGGUAAUACGUAGGUGGCGAGCGUUAUCCGGAUUUAUUGGGCGUAAAGCGCACGCAGGCGGCUGAUUAAGUCUGAUGUGAAAUCUCCUGGCUUAACUGGGAGAGGUCGUUGGAAACUGGUCAGCUUGAGGCAAUGAGAGGAAUGUAGAAUUCCCAGUGUAGUGGUGGAAUGCGUAGAUAUUGGGAGGAAUACCAGUGGCGAAAGCGACAUUCUGGCAUUGACCUGACGCUGAGGUGCGAAAGCGUGGGGAGCGAACGGGAUUAGACACCCCGGUAGUCCACGCCGUAAACGAUGAACACUAGGUGUAGGUUGGUUCAAAUCUAUCUGUGCCGAAGCUAACGCGAUAAGUGUUCCGCCUGGGGAGUACGGCCGCAAGGCUAAAACUCAAAUGAAUUGAC
rnacentral:rRNA from 1 species